AUGCAGGAGGACGAGCUGCUGUGCGACGCAUGGUUGGCCACUAGCCUCGAUCCUAUCCAUGGCAUGGAGAAAAAGGGCACAACAUUUUGGAGGAACAUUCACAUAUGGUUUAAUGAGCACAAGCAUUUCGCGCCCUACUCCGACGCGUUGAUCCGCAACCGUGAGUGGAAGUCCCUCAACCAUCGAUGGUACACCAUCCAAGAGGCUGUCUCCAAGUAUUGCAAGCACUUGAAGCAUCUCAUCACACGGUGGCAUAGCAGUGCACAAAUCACUGAGCAACCUACUAGUGCUUGUGUGGUGUACAAGAAGUUGGAGAAGAAGUCCUUCGAUCACCGUCAUGCAUUGUUGGUUGAAGUUGAAUGGGCAGCCGAAGUAGAACCUUUUCAUUGCCAAAACCGCCGCCCAAGCCAAUGA
rnacentral:rRNA from 1 species